AUGUGAUAUCCCAGGUAAGGUCAUUAAGUUUCUACAGAAGAGACUUGAUAGCAAAGGAGAGCCUGCCAGGUCUAACUGCUCAUCCUGACCUCCCAGCUUCUUGCCUGGCCUUUAAAUAACCCUCCCUUAGGUGUCCUGGAAUGUCUCCUUGCUCUGAUUCCAGAGCAGUUAUUUUUUAUGUAUUCAUUCAACAAAUUUAGCGUCUGUAAUAUGCCCAGCAUAGGCCAUAAAUGAUGACACUGACAAGACCCCAAGUUGGAGAAACUAAAUGAGCCCUAACAACAAGUGCUGACCCGAGCCACAAUAGAGGCCUGUUGAAGGGAGAAAGAGGUGGAGAAGAUGGAACGGACAAGUCUGGUCGUGGAAAGAUGCCCUGGGCAGAGGGAACGGUGCGGAUAAAGGAAGGAGAGCAAGUGGAAGAUGGCAGCCAAUGGGAAUGAGCAAUGCAUGGGAA
rnacentral:lncRNA from 10 species